rnacentral:ncRNA from 1 species
UAUAUAUAUUUAUUAUAAUACUUGAUUUAUAAAUAAUUAUAAUUAAAAUAGAAAUCAAGUUUAUCAAGAAAUGAAGGAAGAAACUUGGCUCUGAUUUAUUUGUAUGGCAAAAACUAAAAAAAACACAUGGUUUUUUUAAAAAGAAGCGAGGUGAGCAAUAAGUGAUUUAUUGAUUGAAAAUUUAUAAUACCAUUUUUUCUUUAAAGUAUUAUUGAAUAUAUAAAAUGCUUUGAAAGUCCCGCUAACACCAGUGUUGAAGUUUAAUUAAAAGUGAAAGCUUGUAUUAAUUUAGUAAUAUAAAUUUGGUUAAUUUGGUGCCAGCAUCCGCGGUUAAACCAAGAAAUUAAGUCAUAUAUUUAUGGUAAUAAAGAUAGUUAGAUUUUUAAAUAAAAACAUAAGUUUUUAAAUAAUUUAUAAAAAAGUGAAAUUUAUAUAUAAAUUCUUAAAUUAGUAAUAACUUAAUAAAUUGAAUCUAUGAAAGUCUUGAGGGAAACUGGGAUUAGAUACCCCAUUAUUCUUGAUUGUAAAAUAAUAAAGCUUACCAGAGUAGUAUGAACAAAUAAUAAUUUAAAACUCAAAGAGCUUGGCGGUGUCUCAGACCACUUAGGGGAACCUGUCUCAUAAUCGAUAAUCCACGCUAUACCUAACCUUUUUUUGUAUAAUUCAGCUUGUAUACCAUUGUCGUCAGGUAACUUUUAAAAAAUUAUAAGUUAGCUAUAAAUUUUUAAAUUAAAACGUCAGAUCAAGGUGCAGCCUAUAAAAAGGAGAGGAUGGGUUACAAUUAAUAUUUAUAAUUACGGAUAACUUAUUGGAAUCAAUAGUUGGAAGGAGGACUUAAAAGUAAAUUAGUUUACAGAAAUAUUUUGAAUAUGGCUCUGAGAUGUGCACACAUCGCCCGUCGCUCUUGUUGAAAAAUAAGAUAAGUCGUAACAUAGUAGAGGUAAUGGAAAUUGUCUCUAAAUUAAAUUACU